GACGAACGCUGGCGGCGUGCUUAACACAUGCAAGUCGAACGGAAAGGCCCUGCCUUUGUGGGGUGCUCGAGUUGCGAACUGGUAAGUAACACGUGAGUAACCUGUCCCUGACUUUGGGAUAACUUCAUGACACUUGGUCUAAUACCGGAUAGGAGCUCUCGCUGCAUGGUGGGGGUUGGAUAGUUUCGGCGGUUGGGGAUGGACUCGCGGCUUAUCAGAUUGUUGGUGGGGUAGUGGCUUACCAAGGCUUUGACGGGUAGCCGACCUGAGAGGGUGACCGGACAAAUUGGGAUUGAGAUACGGCCCAGACUACUAUGGGAGGCAGCAGUGGGGAAUAGUGCACAAUGGGCGGAAGCCUGGUGCAGCAAAGCCGCGUGGGGGAUGACGGGCUUGGGGUUGUAUACCGAUUUCGCCUGUGACGAAGCGUGAGUGACGGUAAUGGGUAAAGAAGCACCGGCUAACUACGUG
rnacentral:rRNA from 1 species